rnacentral:rRNA from 1 species
UCGCCCUUAGAGUUUGUCCUGGCUCAGAGCGAACGCUGGCGGUAUGCUUAACACAUGCAAGUCGAGCGAGAAAAUGACUUCGGUCAUGAGUACAGCGGCGGACGGGUGAGUAAUACAUGGAUAAUCUGCCUUUAGGACCGGGACAACCCAGGGAAACUUGAGCUAAUACCGGAUAAGACCACAGAAUCUCCGGAUUCAGUGGUAAAAGGUGGCCUUCGGGCUAUCACCUAUAGAUGAGUCCAUGUCCCAUCAGGUAGUUGGUGAGGUAACGGCCCACCAAGCCGAAGACGGGUAGCCGACCUUAGCGGGUGAUCGGCCACACGGGGACUGAGACACGGCCCCGACUCCUACGGGAGGCAGCAGUGGGGAAUAUUGGACAAUGGGCGCAAGCCUGAUCCAGCAAUACCGCGUGAGGGAUGAAGGCUUUCGAGUCGUAAACCUCUGUCAGUUGGAACGAUGGGUCUGUAGGUUAAUACCCUGCAGACUUGACGGUACCUUCAAAGGAAGCCCCGGCUAACUCCGUGCCAGCAGCCGCGGUA